rnacentral:rRNA from 1 species
UACGUAGGGGGCUAGCGUUGUCCGGAAUCAUUGGGCGUAAAGAGCGUGUAGGCGGCCAGGUAGGUCGGUUGUGAAAACUGGAGGCUCAACCUUCAGACGUCGACCGAAACCAUCUGGCUAGAGUCCGGGAGAGGAGAGUGGAAUUCCUGGUGUAGCGGUGAAAUGCGCAGAUAUCGGGAAGAACACCCGUGGCGAAGGCGGCUCUCUGGAACGCAACUGACGCUGAGACGCGAAAGCGUGGGGAGCAACAGGG